rnacentral:rRNA from 1 species
CGUAGGUAACCUGCCUGGUAGCGGGGGAUAACUAUUGGAACGAUAGCUAAUACCGCAUAAGAGUAGAUGUUGCAUGACAUUUGCUUAAAAGGUGCAAUUGCAUCACUACCAGAUGGACCUGCGUUGUAUUAGCUAGUUGGUGAGGUAACGGCUCACCAAGGCGACGAUCGGUAGCCGGACUGAGAGGUUGAACGGCCACAUUGGGACUGAGACACGGCCCAG